UACGUAGGGUGCAAGCGUUGUCCGGAAUUAUUGGGCGUAAAGAGCUCGUAGGCGGUCUGUCGCGUCGGAUGUGAAAAUCCAGGGCUCAACCCUGGACCUGCAUUCGAUACGGGCAGACUAGAGUUCGGCAGGGGAGACUGGAAUUCCUGGUGUAGCGGUGAAAUGCGCAGAUAUCAGGAGGAACACCGGUGGCGAAGGCGGGUCUCUGGGCCGAAACUGACGCUGAGGAGCGAAAGCGUGGGGAGCGAACAGGAUUAGAACUACCGUAGUCA
rnacentral:rRNA from 1 species